UUACCUUGUUACGACUUCACCCCAAUCACCAACCCCACCUUCGACGGCUGCCUCCUUGCGGUUAGCUCACCGGCUUCGGGUGUUGUCAGCUUUCGUGGUGUGACGGGCGGUGUGUACAAGGCCCGGGAACGUAUUCACCGCAGUAUGCUGACCUGCGAUUACUAGCGAUUCCGACUUCAUGUAGUCGAGUUGCAGACUACAAUCCGAACUGAGACCGGCUUUCUCGGUUUUGCUCCGCCUCACGGCUUCGCUUCCGUCUGUACCGGCCAUUGUAGUACGUGUGUAGCCCAGGACAUAAGGGGCAUGAUGAUUUGACGUCAUCCCCACCUUCCUCCGUUUUGUCAACGGCAGUCACAUUAGAGUUCCCGACCUAACUCGCUGGCAACUAAUGUUAGGGGUUGCGCUCGUUGCGGGACUUAACCCAACAUCUCACGACACGAGCUGACGACAACCAUGCACCACCUGUCUCUCUGUUAUCCCGAAGGAUAAACACUCUAUCUCUAGAGCUGUCAGAGGAUGUCAAGCCCUGGUAAGGUUCUUCGCGUUGCGUCGAAUUAAACCACAUACUCCACCGCUUGUGCGGGCCCCCGUCAAUUCCUUUGAGUUUCAGUGUUGCCACCGUACUCCCAGGGGGGGUGCUUAUUUUGUUAACUGCGGGACUGGUGGGGGUGGUAACACCCACCACCAGCACU
rnacentral:rRNA from 1 species